GGCACUGCGGCUUGAAGUAAGCUGACUGCAUUUAGUUAAGGCUUACUGAGUACCCAAUAAACAUAAUUUUCUUUCCUUUAAAUCUUAUAAGAAAAUUUUCACCAUCAAACUUGUUAUGUGCUUUUAUAGUUUAAUUUGUUGAAGUGUGGAGAUUGAUUAUGUCUAAAGGAUGCAGGAUUGGCCAGGAGUUAUUGCAGAGUGCAACCCCACAAGCAAGGGUCAAAGGACAGUAAUAGACUUUAGAAAAUAUAUCUUGGCAAGUCACAGUGAGUGGGUUGCCAUUGAUGAAGCUAUGGAGCAGUGAAGUUGGCUGUUAGAAAAUUCUGAAUUUUUGAAGAUGGUUUUGGUGCAGAAAGUUAAAGCUGAUGUGGAUUAUUUUUGUAGCCUUAAAGUGAUGACAAACUUACUUAACCAUUUUGUAAUGUUUUUUCUUAGAUUGCAACCAAACCGAAAUUGUAGUAGUUGUGUUUGGUGUACUUUGAUAAUGAAGGUUUGGUUAGUUUGUAAGAAAUUGUAUGGGUAAGUUUAUUUUAAGCUGCUGUUGUACAUGAAUUUAGUGGAACUGAUGUAAAUAUAAAUGUAACAAAAAGAAUAGAAAAAAGUAGACUUUUCACA